UACGGGGGGGGCAAGCGUUGUUCGGAAUUACUGGGCGUAAAGGGCUCGUAGGUGGCCAACUAAGUCAGACGUGAAAUCCCUCGGCUUAACCGGGGAACUGCGUCUGAUACUGGAUGGCUUGAGUUCGGGAGAGGGAUGCGGAAUUCCAGGUGUAGCGGUGAAAUGCGUAGAUAUCUGGAGGAACACCGGUGGCGAAAGCGACUUCCUGGACCAGUACCGACGUUCAGGCACGAAAGCGUGGGGAGCAAACAGG
rnacentral:rRNA from 1 species